rnacentral:rRNA from 1 species
AAUUAUUGGGCGUAAAGAGCUCGUAGGCGGUUGUCGCGUCUAUCGUGAAAGUCCGAGGCUCAACCUCGGAUCUGCGGUGGGUACGGGCAGACUAGAGUGAUGUAGGGGAGACUGGAAUUCCUGGUGUAGCGGUGAAAUGCGCAGAUAUCAGGAGGAACACCGAUGGCGAAGGCAGGUCUCUGGGCAUUAACUGACGCUGAGGAGCGAAAGCAUGGGGAGCGAACAGGAUUAGAUACCCUGGUAGUCCAUGCCGUAAACGUUGGGCACUAGGUGUGGGGGACAUUCCACGUUUUCCGCGCCGUAGCUAACGCAUUAAGUGCCCCGCCUGGGGAGUACGGCCGCAAGGCUAAAACUCAAAGGAAUUGACGGGGGCCCGCACAAGCGGCGGAGCAUGCGGAUUAAUUCGAUGCAACGCGAAGAACCUUACCAAGGCUUGACAUGUGCCAGACCGCCGUGGAAACACGGUUUCCCCUUUGGGGCUGGUUCACAGGUGGUGCAUGGUUGUCGUCAGCUCGUGUCGUGAGAUGUUGGGUUAAGUCCCGCAACGAGCGCAACCCUCGUUCUAUGUUGCCAGCACGUGAUGGUGGGGACUCAUAGGAGACUGCCGGGGUCAACUCGGAGGAAGGUGGGGACGACGUCAAAUCAUCAUGCCCCUUAUGUCUUGGGCUUCACGCAUGCUACAAUGGCCGGUACAAUGGGUUGCGAUACUGUGAGGUGGAGCUAAUCCCA